UGGUGAAGCCAGAGAGUGAGGCAACUGUGCAACCUGAAGGUUAUCACGGAGGACAUGGUGGUCACGGAGGGGGAGGCCACUACGGAGGAGGAGGCCACGGGCAUGGAGGACACAACGGAGGAGGGGGCCACGGACUUGACGGAUACGGAGGAGGACAUGGAGGACACUACGGAGGAGGAGGAGGACACUACGGAGGAGGAGGAGGCCACGG
rnacentral:sRNA from 1 species